rnacentral:rRNA from 1 species
GAUGAACGCUGGCGGCGUGCCUAAUACAUGCAAGUCGAGCGAACGGACGAGAAGCUUGCUUCUCUGAUGUUAGCGGCGGACGGGUGAGUAACACGUGGAUAACCUACCUAUAAGACUGGGAUAACUUCGGGAAACCGGAGCUAAUACCGGAUAAUAUUUUGAACCGCAUGGUUCAAAAGUGAAAGACGGUCUUGCUGUCACUUAUAGAUGGAUCCGCGCUGCAUUAGCUAGUUGGUAAGGUAACGGCUUACCAAGGCAACGAUGCAUAGCCGACCUGAGAGGGUGGUCGGCCACACUGGAACUGAGACACGGUCCAGAAUCCUACGGGAGGCAGCAGUAGGGAAUCUUCCGCAAUGGGCGAAAGCCUGACGGAGCAACGCCGCGUGAGUGAUGAAGGUCUUCGGAUCGUAAAACUCUGUUAUUAGGGAAGAACAUAUGUGUAAGUAACUGUGCACAUCUUGACGGUACCUAAUCAGAAAGCCACGGCUAACUACGUG